rnacentral:lncRNA from 1 species
AAACAAUUGUCUCCCACUGCAUGGAAACUGCUUUCAGUGAGUCACAUCCUGACUACGUGCUGGUCCUGAUGCUGCUCCUGCCGUGCAAGCACUGCUAUCUCGCUUAUGUGGCCUAUGGCCUUUUAUGCUGACCAGGUGGUGUUACUCACUUGUAACACCAGGAAGGGCCACGCACCUGGCUUCAGCUCCAGAGGUCUGGGCAUUGAAAGCUGAGCAGCUCAGAGAACUGCUCAGAACUCCAAAGAAAGUGUGGAUGGCACUAGGUAUGAUGAUGCCGCCCUUAAUCCCAGUACUCAGGAGACACAGGUAAGCAGAUCUCUGUGAGUUCAAAGCCAGCUUGGUCUACACAGUGAGUUCCAGGAGAGCAAGGGCCACAUAGAGAUGCCCCGUCAACAAACAAACAAACAAACAAACAAACAAAAAACCCACAAAGAAUAAAAAGUAAAUAAAUCCGAAUGGAUCCAUGGAAGCACUGUGAUUUGGAGGGAGAGAAAGGAGAGACAGUGUCAUAGCUCAAACUGGCCUGGAACUCACUAUGUAGCCCCAGUAGCCUGGCACUCAAGGCAAUCCUCCUGCUUCAGCUUCCUGAAUGCUGGGAUUACAGACGUGAACCACCAUGCCCGGCUUACAUUAUCCUUCAGUGUGACUGGUAGAAGUUCCUCUAGGACAGGGUUAAGGUACCACAGAAUGGACACCAGCAUUGGAUGGACAUUUGUGCUGUUUCCCUCUGCUGCAUCACGGACACCAGAGACUCUUUGCUGUUUGUUUUUCGAGGCAGGAUCUCACGGUGUACCCAAGACUGGCUUCAAACUUUCCAACCUCCUGCCUCCGUCUCCAGACUACUGAGAUUACAGGUCUGAGUGGAAUGCCCAGGACCCACACGAUGGAAGAGAGAACAAUCCCCUGUAAGUUGUCCUUUGACCUCCACUUACUCAGUGGUGAGUGCCCCUACCCCACAUAAAUUAAUGAAGAUUUUAGAAAGGGAAACAGGGCAGAAUGUAAGACCAAGUAAGUCCUUGCAUGUCCAGAUAUGUCCACUAGGUGGAACCAAAGCUAACAAGAUCGCCUUCCCCGGCGGCCUCCCAAGAAGAGCGAACAGGUCUGACCCCUGGGCUCCUGAAGACCGGGAUGUUCUCUCCGAAACCUGGCUGAGCCGCAUACAAUUAAUUCUGAGAGGUUGAGACUUGGGGAGUAUGGCGGCUGCAGAUGGUCACACUGGCUGUGUCCCGGCCAGAAACGGGGCUGGAAUGCAGGUUGUGGCACAGACUGCAACAGCCCAGGAGAGCUACAGCGUCUUUCAAAUCUGCACAGGUUCAGAGAGAGCUCCACAGAGGAGGGGCAGGAAUAUGGGCGCCACUGUUGACCUCUGCAGAGGAGCCAGCAGCAGCCGCAGAAAAGAAAACGCAGGACCAGCUGGAAGACCUGCCAUGUCGGGCAUGCAGGCUCAAGGAUGACUCUACAGGCCGGGCAGUCCUCCACAGACCCUGGAAUCUGCUUCCUCCCCUUGGACCUGGGAGUUCGUGACUCAGCUGUUUCCUGAUGGCAGUGACCCGCGUCUGAAGUCCAUCGACCUGGGAGCACCUGUGCAACUAUCAAUAGCCAGAGACACCCAAGGUUUGCGUGAGGGGCUCGGAACAGGAAGCAGGACAUGGGACUGAGCCGGCCGUGCUGGCCUUGAGCCAUGGAGCUUACAAAGCAGAGCAGGGAUGAGCUCUCCCAGGCCAUGCUGCUGCCGCAGAUUCAUGAGUGAAUCUCGUUAAGAUACUAUUUUUAUUUCUCAUUUUUCAGGUGGAAAUUGUUUCACAACACCUGCACUGAUUAAUUCUUGUUAAUUUGACAAACUACAGUCACGGGGAAGAGGGAACCUCAACUGAGGAGCUGCCUGACAGACUGACCUGUGGGCGUGUCUUGAUUGAAGAUGGAUGUGGACUGUGGCACCACUCGCAGAUGGCCCUGGGUUGUAUAAGCGAGCAAGCUGAGCAAGUUAUGGAGAGCAAGCCAGUAGGCAGUGGUUCCUCUACUGUUCCUGCUUAAGAUUCCUGCCUCGCUUCCCUUGCUCAUGGACUGUGAUGUGGACAUGUAAGCCAACAAACCUUCUCUAAGUCGCUUUUGCUUAUGGUGUUUGUCAUAGCAACAAAGAGCAAACUAGACCGGAACCCAAUAAAACACAAGACCCAAAGUUCCUGGUGGCAAGCCAUUUCUGUUUGCUUGGCACUAGAAGGUUUCCGGGACUCCAGACUUCAGAGGGGAGUGGUGGUACACACCUGUAAUGCAAUCACCGCUCUCCGGAGGGCGAGGCAGGAGCUACAGAGCAAGACCUUUUCGGCUCCCCCCGCCCGAAAGACUUUCAGUGCCUCCAGUGACAGAAUGCUAGACCAGCUGCACCAGGCAGUACCAACAAAGAGGGCUCUCAAGUUCAAGGGUGCACCAGAGACGCCUGGGGGCUUUCAACACUGCAGGCAGUGGUCCCACCCCAGAGUUUCUGGUUAGGUAAGGGCGGG